AAGACUAACAUUCAAUUCCAUUUGGACUUUCACAUAAAAGUAUCAUUGUGGCAAGUCAUAUAAUGGAGAAGCAAUAAGAGAGAUGUUUAAAAUCCAAGUUUAUGAAGCAUUACCUAUUUUCGUUUUCCUUUAUGCUGAUAGACGUUAGCUUAUGAGUUGUAGGAGUAUUGUCAUUGGUGGUUGUAUCCUCGCCUGACUGAAAAAGCAUCACACAUUAUGUUAAUAACCAUGAUAUAUGAAGGACAUAAUUUAUAGGGUACUUGGCAGACGAAUCAGUGUUCAUUCCUAUGUAGAAUAACUUCUCUUUACCAAUGGCCUUAUCCAGGUGCUGAAGGUUGCUCCUCCCUGGCACAAAAAAGGAUGAAGUAUCAAUAAUCUAUUUUAUUUUGAAUGGCGAGGCAGGAAAAAGUGAACUGCAUGAGAAAGUGUUCACCUGAAAAGAUGAUGCUGGAAGGUUAGAUAUUUCUUCAAUGGUGUAUAGUUUGCCUGCUGCUUCAAGUGGAGAUACUUGUUUGACCUGAGGGAGAUGCUUUUGUAGAGUUGGGCAUUUCCAUUGAUAGCUUCAAAUGUUUUUCAUAUAAAAUAUUAGUUUGCUGUAGUGCUAAACAUAAAUUCUGUAUGCGCAAGAGUGAGAAAGAGAGAACCUGGUGCGGUACUUUUGAACUUCAGGUAUAUCAAGAUCAAGAUAUAUUUGUGUCGCAGAACUUGAGGAUCCUUGUAUCAUAC